CCUACGGGUGGCAGCAGUCGAGAAUCAUUCACAAUGGGGGAAACCCUGAUGGUGCGACGCCGCGUGGGGGAAUGAAGGUCUUCGGAUUGUAAACUCCUGUCAUGUGGGAGCAAAUUAAAAAGAUAGUACCACAUGAGGAAGAGACGGCUAACUAUGUGCCAGCAGCCGCGGUAAUACAGAGGUCUCAAGAGGUGUGAGGAAUCACUGGGCGUAAAGGGUGCGUAGGCUGUUUCGUAAGUCGUGUGUGAAAGGCGCGGGCUCAACCCGCGGACGGCACAUGAUACUGGGGGACUAGAGUAAUGGAGAGGGAACCGGAAUUCUCGGUGUAGCAGUGAAAUGCGUAGAUA
rnacentral:rRNA from 1 species